CUGUGAGGUAUGCUGGAGGUAUCAGAAGUGCGAAUGCUGACAUAAGUAACGAUAAAGCGGGUGAAAAGCCCGCUCGCCGGAAGACCAAGGGUUCCUGUCCAACGUUAAUCGGGGCAGGGUGAGUCGACCCCUAAGGCGAGGCCGAAAGGCGUAGUCGAUGGGAAACAGGUUAAUAUUCCUGUACUUGGUGUUACUGCGAAGGGGGGACGGAGAAGGCUAUGUUGGCCGGGCGACGGUUGUCCCGGUUUAAGCGUGUAGGCUGGUUUUCCAGGCAAAUCCGGAAAAUCAAGGCUGAGGCGUGAUGACGAGGCACUACGGUGCUGAAGCAACAAAUGCCCUGCUUCCAGGAAAAGCCUCUAAGCAUCAGGUAACAUCAAAUCGUACCCCAAACCGACACAGGUGGUCAGGUAGAGAAUACCAAGGCGCUUGAGAGAACUCGGGUGAAGGAACUAGGCAAAAUGGUGCCGUAACUUCGGGAGAAGGCACGCUGAUAUGUAGGUGAAGUCCCUCGCGGAUGGAGCUGAAAUCAGUCGAAGAUACCAGCUGGCUGCAACUGUUUAUUAAAAACACAGCACUGUGCAAACACGAAAGUGGACGUAUACGGUGUGACGCCUGCCCGGUGCCGGAAGGUUAAUUGAUGGGGUCAGCGCAAGCGAAGCUCUUGAUCGAAGCCCCGGUAAACGGCGGCCGUAACUAUAACGGUCCUAAGGUAGCGAAAUUCCUUGUCGGGUAAGUUCCGACCUGCACGAAUGGCGUAAUGAUGGCCAGGCUGUCUCCACCCGAGACUCAGUGAAAUUGAACUCGCUGUGAAGAUGCAGUGUACCCGCGGCAAGACGGAAAGACCCCGUGAACCUUUACUAUAGCUUGACACUGAACAUUGAGCCUUGAUGUGUAGGAUAGGUGGGAGGCUUUGAAGUGUGGACGCCAGUCUGCAUGGAGCCGACCUUGAAAUACCACCCUUUAAUGUUUGAUGUUCUAACGUGGACCCGUGAUCCGGGUUGCGGACAGUGUCUGGUGGGUAGUUUGACUGGGGCGGUCUCCUCCUAAAGAGUAACGGAGGAGCACGAAGGUUGGCUAAUCCUGGUCGGACAUCAGGAGGUUAGUGCAAUGGCAUAAGCCAGCUUGACUGCGAGCGUGACGGCGCGAGCAGGUGCGAAAGCAGGUCAUAGUGAUCCGGUGGUUCUGAAUGGAAGGGCCAUCGCUCAACGGAUAAAAGGUACUCCGGGGAUAACAGGCUGAUACCGCCCAAGAGUUCAUAUCGACGGCGGUGUUUGGCACCUCGAUGUCGGCUCAUCACAUCCUGGGGCUGAAGUAGGUCCCAAGGGUAUGGCUGUUCGCCAUUUAAAGUGGUACGCGAGCUGGGUUUAGAACGUCGUGAGACAGUUCGGUCCCUAUCUGCCGUGGGCGCUGGAGAACUGAGGGGGGCUGCUCCUAGUACGAGAGGACCGGAGUGGACGCAUCACUGGUGUUCGGGUUGUCAUGCCAAUGGCACUGCCCGGUAGCUAAAUGCGGAAGAGAUAAGUGCUGAAAGCAUCUAAGCACGAAACUUGCCCCGAGAUGAGUUCUCCCUGACCCUUUAAGGGUCCUGAAGGAACGUUGAAGACGACGACGUUGAUAGGCCGGGUGUGUAAGCGCAGCGAUGCGUUGAGCUAACCGGUACUAAUGAACCGUGAGG
rnacentral:rRNA from 1 species